UAAUACAUCGGAACGUGCCCGAUCGUGGGGGAUAACGGCGAAAGCUUUGCUAAUACCGCAUACGAUCUACGGAUGAAAGCAGGGGACCGCAAGGCCGCGCGGACGGAGCGGCCGAUGGCAGAUUAGGUAGUUGGUGGGAUAAAAGCUUACCAAGGACGAUCUGUAGCUGGUCUGAGAGGACGACCAGCCACACUGGGACUGAGACACGGCUCACUCCUACGGGAGGCAGCAGUGGGGAAUUUUGGACAAUGGGCGCAAGCCUGAUCCAGCUGCCGCGUGCAGGAUGAAGGCCUUCGGGUUGUAAACUGCUUUUGUACGGAACGAAAAGUCUUUCUAAUAAAGAGGGUCCAUGACGGUACCGUAAGAAUAAGCACCGGCUAACUACGCCAGCAGCCGCGGUAAUACGUAGGGUGCAAGCGUUAAUCGGAAUUACUGGGCGUAAAGUGCGCAGGCGGUGAUGUAAGACAGAUGUGAAAUCCCCGGGCUCAACCUGGGAACUGCAUGUGACUGCAUCGCUGGAGUACGGCAGAGGGGGAUGGAAUUCCGCGUGUAGCAGUGAAGCGUAGAUAUGCGGAGGAACACCGAUGGCGAAGGCAAUCCCCUGGGCCUGUACUGACGCAUGCACGAGAGCGUGGGGAGCAAACAGGAUUAGAUACCCUGGUAGUCCACGCCCUAAGAUGUCAACUGGUUGUUGGGUCUUCACUGACUCAGUAACGAAGCUAACGCGUGAAGUG
rnacentral:rRNA from 1 species